rnacentral:misc_RNA from 1 species
GAAAUGCGAUAAGUAGUGUGAAUUGCAGAAUUCAGUGAAUCAUCGAAUCUUUGAACGCACAUUGCGCCCUUUGGUAUUCCUUAGGGCAUGCCUGUUCGAGCGUCAUCUAAACCUUCAAGCCCUGCUUGGUGUUGGGUGCCUGUCCCGCCUCCGCGCGCGGACUCACCGCAAAUCCAUUGGCGGCCCCCGCGUCGGCCACGAGCGCAGCAGAAACGCGAACUCGUGAGCCCGUCCGGGCGGCUCCCAGAAGCUACACCCACCCAGUUUGACCUCGGAUCAGGUAGGGAUACCCGCUGAACUUAAGC